ACAGGAUCAGGGGGAUGCUGAGAGACAUCUAAGGGUAUUAGGGACAUCAUCAGGGCAUUAAUUAGGGACAGCAUCAGGGUGUUAGUUAGGGAAAGAUUCAGGCCAUUAUUAUAGACAGUCUCAAGGCCUUAGGUAGAGACAGCUUCAGGGCCUUAGGGACAGCGUAAGAGACUUACUUAGGGACAUAUUCAAGGCCUUAGUUAUGGACAGGA